GACCUCUGUCCCUCUCCCAUGACAUCUGUCUAGCCGUUAACUCCAGCCAGCUGGUAUGGGCUGGUCCCCGCUCAGCCCUUACGUCCUCAGUGAAGGACUGGGGUCUGCCCUUGCCCCACUGGGGGUGUCUUUGAUGAGGGUAGAGGGGCCCAGAGAGAUUGCCAGAGCCAGGGAGCUUGCCCACUGUUGGGUUUCCAGAGGUAAGGGAAUUUUCAGGCCCAGACCAAAAGAUAGCAGGACUUCUGGGACAAAGAGAAAAUUUACUAGUGUCUACACCCUCAACUAGAGAGAGUAGACUAGACAUAGUCCGCCCCUCCACUAUUCAUAUCCUCUUGGUUGCCUGAGUACCCCAGCCCCUAGGGCUUGGGUCCCAAAAGAAUACCUCACUGUCCACCACUGGGGCCUGGGCUUAGCUCUCCCCUGGCCUCCUGCUGAUCCUUUUACCUGCUUCAGCCUGCCCCCUGCCUCAACAGUUCCAGCACCCACUUGGGGGAGGGAACCAGGGACUGUGCCAGACCCUCCCCUUGCUGCAGGCCAUCCGGGGAGGGCUAUGGAAGGAUGCAAUAUGAUCUGGGCCCUGCCCUGCAGCAGCUGUGUCCCAGGCCAGUGCCAGCACCCCAGGGCAUCUUGGGGGUAUAAAGGCCCAUUGGGAGAGGCCAACCCCAACUCUCCUGCUCUGCCAGUGGAUAACUGUGCUCCAUCCUUCACCAUGCUCCCUACUCUGCUGCUCGGUGCCAUCUUCACCCUGCUCAGGGCAUCCCCAGGCUGGGCAGAGGUCCCUGUCCAGGCCAACUUCGAUGCCAACCAGUUCCAGGGCGUGUGGUACAUCGUGGGGAUUGCAUCUGAUGACCAAGACUUCCAGGACUCCAAGGACAACAUGAAGAUGCCCAUGGUCUCAGUGACUCCCUCAGCCAGCGGUGACCUGGGCAUCAAGUUUGGGUACCCCACGCCGGAUGGUGGGUGCCAGAAGAUAGAUGCUACCUUCACCAAGGGCGCCAUGGAUGGGCAGUUCAGCAACAUGGCCAUGGCCCAGACCGACAUCCGGGUGGCAUUCACUGACUACAAGCACUACGCUGUGAUGUAUGUGGAGACGAAGAAGGGGGAUGUCAAGAGCACCUGGCUUCAGCUCUAUGCACGAGCUCCAGAAUUGUUUCCUGAAGGUGCCCAAAGGAUGCAGCAGCUGGCACCCCAAGUGGGCCUGAACCCCAGCCAGGGUGCCAUGCUAGCCAAGACAGGUGAGCACUGUACCACCCCACCCAGCUUCAGGCAGUAACGCCAGCCCCAGAUGUGGUGGACCAGCUCCUUUGGCUCUCCCAACAAACCCAGUCUUGGGAUGGAAGGACCAGGACCAAUCCAGCCUGUUCGGGGCAGGGGAGUCAGAUGGUGGUGGGUAGGUGGCCUCUCAGGAGAGGAUCACAGGCCUGGGGUUUGCUCAGACUGCUUUCUCUCCCACAGACCAGUGUACCGGCACCAUCUCCAAGUGAGAGCUCCAGUCCAGAAGCCAGAGGGUGCUGCUCUGGUUACAAGUCUUGCUAAAAGCCAGCCCCAAAGGUGCCACAUCUCUCCACUACUGCCCCCAUCCUACACAAUAAACAAUCUGAAAGCCAA